rfam:Schistosoma haematobium scaffold60_24, whole genome shotgun sequence.
AGCCGGCUGACACGUCCCAAAUAGGACGAAACGUGCGUCCUAUAU